rnacentral:tRNA from 1 species
GCCAGGGUGGCUCAGUCGGCUGAGCGUCUGACUUCAGCUCAGGUCACGCUCUCGCGGUUUGUGAGUUCGAGCCCCGCGUCGGGCU